AGGUAUAGCUCAAGAGGUAGAGCGCAUGCUUAGCAUGCAUGAGGUCCUGAGUUCAAGUCCCAGUACCU
rnacentral:tRNA from 1 species